UAUUUCAGAUUCUAAUGUAUUAAUUGUUAUUUAUUUUUAAAUUAUGAUCAUUUAGUGAUAGUCUUCAUUUUUAUCCUUUCGAUACUAAUUUUGGUGGGCAACCAUGAAUUCAAAUGUUCAUUUUAAAGUACAAAUUUUCUAGAGGCUUGUGUUCAGAAUUUGACAAAACUGCAAAAUCAAAUAUCCUCUAGAUUACAAUUCUGUUUUGAAUGCAUAGUAUUUUAUAAUCUGGCCCUCAUUGUUUCCCAAAAUGACUACAAGCUUGAUAAUAUUAUGUACAAACAAAA
rnacentral:lncRNA from 1 species